GUGGAUUCUAGGUCCCCGGGGGGCGGGGUAGGGGGCAGUGAGGAGUCCCCAGUACUACAUGUUCAAUUCUCUUUUCUUUUAUUUGGCAGGGCCUGGAAUGGAACCCAGGGCCUUGAGCAUGCUAGGCACGCGCUCUACCACGAGCUGCAUCCCAGCACCAUUUCUCUCUCCUUGCCAAAGUAUCUUCUCCUGUCUGCCCUUCUCUGUGCCUGAUGCCUGUUCUGGCCCCUAUGAGUAGGUGGCAUACCCAAGGACUAGCAGAGUCAGGAAGUGGGUGUGGUCAGGAGGGAUUCUGCCAGGCCCAGGAAGAGGUAGAGCAGCUGGGAAAACCAGAGAGUGGGGAGCCUACUCUCAGGGAGGCUCAGGAUAAGCAAGACCCUUCUAGGCUAGAAAGGGGAAGGAACGUGCUCAAGGGUCAUGGCAGAAAGUGCCCAAGGAAUGCCAGCGUACCCACACUGUCAGCGGCCCACCCCUCCAUCCAUCCACCUGUCCGUCUGUCCACCCAGUGUUUAAUCCUAACUACUCGAGUCAGACAACCAAGGACCAGAAGGUUGAGGACAGCUAACAAAGCUCAUGGUGACAGCAACCUUGUGGCCCCUUCCUCCUGUCCAUGGGAAAGAUCUUGGCUCCAGAGGUGCCAAGCUACCAGCCCUAUUGGCCCAUGGUCCAGGUGAGGAUGGUGGAAUCAAAAGCGCACCCUGCCCCAGACCAGAGGCAGCAGCCUGCCCCCCUCCUGCCUGACCCCAGUGUGUGACAGUGAAGAGGACAGAAACCAAAGCCGGGGACGGUGGCCCAGAGAGCCCUCCCGCGCGAAGUAUGUUGCCUUCUUCUUGCUGGCUGCUGCCUGACCUCUGCGGAGCUCGCCCAGCCCACGGGCCAGGAGGGGAGAGCGUGGGGCAGCCUGCCUCAUGCCUCCCCUGGCCGGUCGGAAGCUCAGUGGUCUCCCACCCGAGCCUGGCAGCCCUGGGCUGGCUUCUGUUAAUUUGCUGUCAGGCGGCCUAAGCAAACCAAUUAAAACUAAUCAUUAAUUAUAAAAGAGAGUGAGAAGAGUAGAGAGGAGAGGGUGAAAGACGGAGAUGGGGAGGAGGAAGAGGGAAGAGCAGGGGCCUGGGAGCUCGGUGGGGCACCCGGGUGGGCCGGGCCAGGAGGGGCAGAGGUGCUGGAGUCCAGGGUCCAGGAAGGAUGGUGGAGAGUGAAGGGGGGGCAGGGCAGGGGCCAGCGUACCAGGACCUGGAGAAGGCUCAUCCCUCGCAGUCAACGGGAGCCAAUGCCUGGCCAGGCUCGGCCUCGGAGCCUCACCCGCGGCUGCCCAGCUCCGUAUGUAUGAGGCUCCUCUGAUUAUGCAGCCCAGGCCAGGCCCCUGUCCCCAUUCUCCUACCUGCUCCCAACCCUCUGGGGCCAUGGAGGCUCAGGACAGCUGUCGGGCUGCCCGGCUCCCCCCAGUGCUGGCUCCUUCCCCUGCCCCCAUCGGCCUCCCGUCCUCGCACACCCCCUCUCCAGGCCUGGCCCUUUCACAGGGGCUGGGGCCAUGUCAGUGGCAGCUUGAGGAGGGGGGCAGACAGACAACAAGGGGCAGCGUCAUGGAAACGGGCACUUUCCCGGAGAAAUAUUCUGUUUGGCCCCCUCCCUGCAUUGAGGAGCUGUCAGGAGUCUGGGUGAGAGUCACACUAUCCCGGGACCAGGCGUGACAAAACCUAUUUUCUGCCUCAAAUUUGAUUGAUUAAAAAACUUUUUAGGAAAACCAUGUUAAAAGAGGGGAAAAAGAGAGAGUGAGAGAGAGAAAGAGAGGGAGGGAGGCAGAAAUAGAGGGGGAAAGAAAGAAAGAUAGAAAGAGAGAAGGGGAGGAGGGCUGGGGAGAGAAGGCCACGCAGGGGCCAGGCAGGCCCUCCCCAGCCCGCGCAGUGCCCGCCCGCCCGGGGAUGUGUGUCAGUGGGCCAUCCACAGCGUGACCAGGCAAGACGGAGAGGUCACAGGACGCCCAGAACCUUUACACAGUGGUUAGCAGGACAAUGAGGGGCCGCGGGCUCUGCGUGGUCCAGCAGGUGCCGGGUCUGGAUGGGACGGCAGUCAGAGUGAGCUGCCCGUCCCCGCAGAGGGCAGGGUGUCCAAGACCUCCCGGCAGGGAGGCCCAGGUGGCUGUGUCUGUCCAGCACCUGGAGAGAGCCCAGUCUUGACGGGCAUUUGUCCAGAACCCUGAAAAGUCUGCACAGGGUCAAGAAGGAGGACCUAGGGAUUCAGGAACAGGAAAGGGGUUUGCCAACGUGUUCUUUUAAGCCCUGGCUCCAGGUUUGUUGGUGGUAUUGGCCACUGCACACAGGACCUCGCCAGUCUACCACUGGGCCCCUUCCCUAGCCCUUCAAGAAUUUUUUUUUUUUUUUAACAAUAGUCAUAAAAUAAAAAAGCAGAGAGGCACCCAGCUUGGCCCCUCUGUCCUUCAGCUAGGAACCUUGCUGGCCAGGUUGGCCCUGGGCGCUCUCACUCUCCCAGUCUGUCCUGGGCCUUCCCAACUCAAGCCUUCAUAUGUCCUACUGGACGCUGUCUCAAAUGAUUCUCAUGCAUGGCCAGGGACUCUGAGGCUGAUGGGAGAUGCUCAAGGUUCUAGGAGAAGAGGUGCCCUCUGGCCCCUCCAGUGGCCCCUCCUGGGACCCCUCUGGAGGAGAAAAUACUGCCACCAUUUCCCCAGGGGGCCUAUCGAUCAACAGAGGUGCCUCUGGACAGUACUGGUCUCCUUCCCAGGAAGAAGGGUCUGAGUUGGUGGCCUGGUAUGCUCCCUUUGUAAGGGCCUUCAAGGUCAAGAUGAGAAGCAGUUCUGGCCAAGGAGUCAGCAAGAUUUUCCCAUAUGCUGGGAGGGGCUCAGCAGCGUUCUGGCCGGUCUCAGCCCACUCAGGGCUGAAUAUCUGCUGGACCGGCAAGCACAGUGGCCAGACAGAUGCCCAGAGUGACAGCAACUGCUCCCAGCCCUUCCCCAAGUUGACCCCAGCUCUCCCCCAGCCGGGUUCUGUGAGAUCAUCACGUGUUUAUUGAGCCCAUAUUGUGUGCACCACGCCAUGCUGGGCACAGGGAAGAAAAAGUAAGAGAGAUCCAAGACAGAGCUGGUGACAGCUGAUCUGAACAAUGCCUCGAAACUUACUGCCAGCUGCUGGGAGGACCCCACUGAAGAAGUGCUCAGCACAAUGUCUGGUAUGGUAAGCACCUGCUCUCAGCUGCCAGGGUCCCUGUCUUUAAAAGCUGGGAGACAUCCAACACAUCCACUCCUAGCUAUAGACCCCAAGGAGGGAAAACAGGGACUCAAGAAAAAACUCGGACACAAAUAUUCAUGGCAACACUAUUUGCAAUAGCCAAAAGGUGGAUACAACCCAAGUGUCCAUGAACUGAUAAAUGGAUCAACAUGUGGUUUAUCCACACCAUGGAGUAUCACACAGCCAUAAAAAGGAACAGAGUCCUGGCUCAUGCUACAACAUAGGCACACCUGGAAAACAAGCUGAGUGAAAGAUCCGACAGGAAAGGCCACACACUGACUCCAUUCAUAUGAAAUAUCCUAACAGAGACAAAAUCCAUGGAGACAGAGAGCAUGUUAGUGGUUGUGGGGCUGGGGCAAGGGGAGAGUGGAGUGUGAUGGGUGCCAUUUCUGUUGGGGGUGAUGAAAGAGUUCUGGAACUAGGUAUCAGUGACAUGCAACUCUAGGAAAUGUAUUUAAUGACACUGAAUUGUAUACUUUAAAAUAGUCACACAGGGAAAUGUUAUGGCCUGUGCAUUUUCUCACAAUAAAAAAG
rnacentral:lncRNA from 1 species